rnacentral:rRNA from 1 species
GAUGAACGCUGACAGAAUGCUUAACACAUGCAAGUCAACUUGAAUUUGGGUUUUUAACUUAGAUUUGGGUGGCGGACGGGUGAGUAACGCGUAAAGAACUUGCCUCACAGCUAGGGACAACAUUUAGAAAUGAAUGCUAAUACCUGAUAUUAUGAUUUUAAGGCAUCUUAGAAUUAUGAAAGCUAUAAGCACUGUGAGAGAGCUUUGCGUCCCAUUAGCUAGUUGGAGAGGUAACAGCUCACCAAGGCGAUGAUGGGUAGCCGGCCUGAGAGGGUGAACGGCCACAAGGGGACUGAGACACGGCCCUUACUCCUACGGGAGGCAGCAGUGGGGAAUAUUGGACAAUGGACUGAGAGUCUGAUCCAGCAAUUCUGUGUGCACGAUGAAGUUUUUCGGAAUGUAAAGUGCUUUCAGUUGGGAAGAAAAAAAUGACGGUACCAACAGAAGAAGUGACGGCUAAAUACGUGCCAGCAGCCGCGGUAAUACGUAUGUCACGAGCGUUAUCCGGAUUUAUUGGGCGUAAAGCGCGUCUAGGUGGUUAUGUAAGUCUGAUGUGAAAAUGCAGGGCUCAACUCUGUAUUGCGUUGGAAACUGUGUAACUAGAGUACUGGAGAGGUAAGCGGAACUACAAGUGUAGAGGUGAAAUUCGUAGAUAUUUGUAGGAAUGCCGAUGGGGAAGCCAGCUUACUGGACAGAUACUGACGCUAAAGCGCGAAAGCGUGGGUAGCAAACAGG